rnacentral:rRNA from 1 species
UACGUAGGUGGCAAGCGUUGUCCGGAAUUAUUGGGCGUAAAGCGCGCGCAGGCGGUCCUUUAAGUCUGAUGUGAAAGCCCACGGCUCAACCGUGGAGGGUCAUUGGAAACUGGGGGGACUUGAGUGCAGGAGAGAAAAAGUGGAAUUCCACGUGUAGCGGUGAAAUGCGUAGAGAUGUGGAGGAACACCAGUGGCGAAGGCGACUUUUGGCCUGUAACUGCGCUGAGGCGCGAAAAGCGUGGGGAGCAAACAGG